rnacentral:misc_RNA from 1 species
UUUCCGUAGGUGAACCUGCGGAAGGAUCAUUAUCGUAUCACUGAGGUGCCGGGUCUGCCCUUGACCCGUUCGGACGUGCACUUCCGAGUGCGCUCCCACUCAUCCAUCUCACCCCUAUACGCACCACCACCUUUAUCGCGGUGGGGCUUGUUCGGAGGGCCGCUCACGUUUUCACACGACCUAUGCAUGCAGUGUAGAAAGUAUUUUUUGUUUUUGCGAUCCCGCAAUCAAUACAACUUUCAAAAACGGAACUCUUGGCUCUCGCAUCGAAGAAGAAAC